GAUGAACGCUGGCGGCGUGCCUAAUACAUGCAAGUCGAGCGAACAGACGAGGAGCUUGCUCCUCUGACGUUAGCGGCGGACGGGUGAGUAACACGUGGAUAACCUACCUAUAAGACUGGGAUAACUUCGGGAAACCGGAGCUAAUACCGGAUAAUAUAUUGAACCGCAUGGUUCAAUAGUGAAAGACGGUUUUGCUGUCACUUAUAGAUGGAUCCGCGCCGCAUUAGCUAGUUGGUAAGGUAACGGCUUACCAAGGCAACGAUGCGUAGCCGACCUGAGAGGGUGGACGGCCACACUGGAACUGGGACACGGUCCAAAAUCCUACGGGAGGCAGCAGUAGGGAAUCUUCCGCAAUGGGCGAAAGCCUGACGGAGCAACGCCGCGUGAGUGAUGAAGGUCUUCGGAUCGUAAAACUCUGUUAUUAGGGAAGAACAAAUGUGUAAGUAACUAUGCACGUCUUGACGGUACCUAAUCAGAAAGCCACGGCUAACUACGGGC
rnacentral:rRNA from 1 species